UUUCCGUAGGUGAACCUGCGGAUGGAUCAUUACUGAGUGAGGGCCCCUCGGGGUCCAACCUCCCACCCGUGUUUAACGAACCUUGUUGCUUCGGCGGGCCCGCCUCACGGCCGCCGGGGGGCAUCUGCCCCCGGGCCCGCGCCCGCCGAAGCCACCUGUGAACGCUGUCUGAAGUAUGCAGUCUGAGACAAUUAUUAAAUUAAUUAAAACUUUCAACAACGGAUCUCUUGGUUCCG
rnacentral:misc_RNA from 1 species